rnacentral:rRNA from 1 species
UACGUAGGCAGCAAGCGUCGUUCGGAGUUACUGGGCGUAAAGGGUGUGUAGGCGGCUUCUUAAGUUUGGUGUGAAAUCUCCCGGCUUAACUGGGAGGGUGCGCCGAAAACUGAGAAGCUAGAGUGCGGGAGAGGAGAGUGGAAUUCCUGGUGUAGCGGUGAAAUGCGUAGAUAUCAGGAGGAACACCGGUGGUGUAGACGGCUCUCUGGACCGUAACUGACGCUGAGACACGAAAGCGUGGGGAGCAAACAGG